GAAUCAGCAUUUGGGUCUCCCAUACAUUUCUCAACCUUUUUAACAUCAAGCCCCAGGGUUCUGAUAACAGCAUCCGCACAUUCUUUGUUGUAUCUCUUCUCCUUCAUGGGACAUCUGAUUUGGAAAUCAGUUACAUAGUCCCACCACACCCAAGGUCUUUUGCUCUCAUUUGCCACUCUAAAAACACAGAGUUGCCUAAGAUUUUCAAGAACAACAUCUUUCCCCUCAUAACCUGUGCUGAAAUCCUGUUCAGGAUCAGGAGCACAAUAUCUGCCACGAUUNCUGGGACUUGCACUGCCUACUCAAGGUGAAUGCCUGAGGACAGUACCAGGUUAUAUAAUGAGGUGUGAACUGGGUGUAACCACCUUUCUCAAGUAUCUGUGGUGGACCUCUAAAAUCCUUCACAAACUCCAUCAGCAUAUCACAUUUUACCCCACAUUCAUCAUUGCUGUUGGUCCAUAAUUCAUACUCUACACGAUCAUCAGGGUGUGGAACAGCUUCUCUCCAAUCAAGAUUCACAUUUACCAUCUCCCCACUGGUUAUUGCUUUCUUUAAUGUUUCACCAAAGCUUUUCUCAAUAAGUGCAGAUGGUAUUGUUAUGUUCUCAAUAUAUUUUGCAGAUGAACCAUCCUCUUCAGGUGAAUCCAUCGUUAUCAAUGGCUCCUCAAUGUCAUCUGCAACAAGUACUGC
rnacentral:misc_RNA from 1 species